rnacentral:rRNA from 1 species
AAUGAACGCUGGCGGCAGGCCUAAAACAUGCAAGUCGAACGCCUGUAGCAAUACAGGAGUGGCGCACGGGUGCGUAACACGUGGGAAUAUGCCUAUUGGUACGGAACAGCUCCGGGAAACUGGAAUUAAUACCGUAUGGUCCCUUCGGGGUAAAGAUUUAUCGCCAAUAGAUUAGCCCGCGGUGGAUUAGCUAGUUGGUAGGGUAAUGGCCUACCAAGGCGACGAUCCAUAGCUGGUCUGAGAGGACGAUCAGCCACACUGGGACUGAGACACGGCCCAGACUCCUACGGGAGGCAGCAGUUAGGAAUAUUGGACAAUGGGCGCAAGCCUGAUCCAGCCAUGCCGCGUGAGUGGUGAAGGCCUUCGGGUUGUACAACUCUUUAGCCGAUGAAUAUAAUGACUGUAGUCGGAAAAUAAGCCCCGGCUAACUUCGUGCCAGCCGCCGCGGUAA